CACCCCCUCCACCCUUCCCUAUUUACAAAGACUUCGUUUCCAUUUUUUCCUUUUCUCAUAAUUUUUCCUUUCCCUCCUUUCCUUUCCCCUUCCCCUCCCACCACCCCUACCCCUUUGGACCUUUUCUUCCUGUUUCAAAUUAUCAACUAUUCGUUUUCAUCAUUUUAAUUCUUAUUUAUGCUUUCAGUUACCCAUGAGUCUUUAUUAAACACCAAGUGGAAGAAGAAAAAUAUUGGAACUAGAAAUGCCCCUGUAUGGAGCAGAAAAAGAUCUUGGAAUACAGACAGCUUUACUUUUUUUCCUGAAGUCAUAGGUCUGAGAUGCCUAAAUACAUUUGCUGUGCCUUGGGCUGGACUCAGAGAAGGGGCUUGGCUAUAUUCACUGUCAAGAAUCAGGAACAGAGGUCUGAAAUGGCAAUGGCUAAGAAGAAGGAGCCAAGUAAAAAACAAAAUCCAGCUGUAGGCGGUGAAGCCCAAUAAGCAGGCGGAUUGCAGGCUUGGAAAAGAGGUCAGGCCCUAGGAGCUGACCCAGGGCCUGGAGAGGAGUGUUAUUGCUGGGGGAAGACAACUGGUGGUGAGGUUGGUAAGCCUUAGUCUGCCAUCCCACACAUGGCUUCACCUGGCUUUAUGAGGCCUGGGCAGAUCCAUUCUCUCCUGAAGGCCGGAUUCCUUCUGCUUUGAUGAAAUGGAGAUACCAAGGGUAUGUCUGAGGAUGUAGAGGGAGGGUAUCAACGGGGAAAAUGAAACACAUCAUUUGAGGUCCAGCUACAAUCUCACCUCCUCCAAGAAUGUUUCCCAAAUCACUCUUCAUGGUUCCUGGCUACCCUGACCUCCACCCUACUGUGUAACACUUUAUGUUUUGGUUCUAGUGUAUGUCUCAAACUGUCACGCAAUGAAUUAUUUGGUAACAGUAAUGACUAAUAGUUAUACAGUCUCUGCUUGAAGUUUAUUGCUUUUGCAAAUAUUAAUUCAUUUGCUCUCCAUAAUGGCCCUGAAAACUAGCUAAAAUAGUUAUUGGUAGUUUGCUUUAUUUAAGGCAGAAUGGUGCAGAAAGCACAGACAUAUGCUUCUUCAGAUUAGGAUUAGAAUGUAAGCAUCACUGGGUAUGCGAGGAGUUUGUUCAGCUUGCUUGAGCAAUUCAGCCAGUGGUUGGCAUCACCAAGAGAGAGCUGUGCCCUCUCAUCCAUCCUCUAGCAAGAGCUAAGUUUCUGGUGAAAGAAAAUCUGGCCUUGCACAUUCAGAAAAACAUCAUACUGGAGGCAUCGUAUUUUCACAGUGUGGUGUUUGGAACCCUGAGGAAAUGCCAUGGUUUUCUAGCAUCAAAACAACUUUAUUCCAAAGUUUCUUUUGGAAAUUUGAAGGCUCCCCUCUCUGCCAGGUUUCAGAUCCCAGCUCUCCUUGGCAACUAAGCCCUUUGGUCGUUACAGUGUUCUGGGCACAUCCGUGUUGCACUUUGAUUCCUCCUCCUUUCUUUCCUGCACCCACCCCGACCCUUUGCGUCUAUCUUCGGUGCUUGUUUGUCCAUGCCAACAAACUCCCAUAUUUUUAGUGUCUUUCUAGGGUUCUUCCUAUAUCUUCUUCCCUAACUGAAACCAGACCUUCCCAGGGAGUCCUGCUUGUCUGGAAAUCUUCUUACAUAGACUUCUAAUACUUGUUGUUGUUGUUGUUGUUUUAAAAAAACCUUAUCUUAAAGGGAGAGCAAUGAAACAUUUCUUAUAGUCCACUUUGCUGCUUGCAAAAUAUUUUUCUUCCUUCAAUUCCCCCCUUCUCUGAAAGAACCAUUCUUGGCCUCCACAUUCCACAGCCCCCUUAUUGUUAAUCAGAGACCUCUUAACCUCUCUCCACAUUUGCUGAGGAUUUUUGCACACAUCCUGUAGCUCCCUCCCCUUCCCCAUGCCUCCUCUAGGAAACCAGAGUUAUCCAAGUCCUUGACUGUCACAAAUAUCAGGAUCUCCUUUGCUGAUCUCAAACCACUAUUUCUCCAUCCUUUGUGCUUUUCACCUGUCCUCAGAUGUCUUCUAUAUCCCUUGGGCUAUCUUUAUUCCCUUCUUCCACCUAGCAACCUAUUUCAUUCUUCGGGUCUAACUAUCUCUACCCAGGAAGACCAUUCUCUUGCCUAGAUUAUAACUCUUCCCUGACCAUGGUAGUUUUUGAAUCUGGAUCCACUGUUGAAUUUUCAAUUUUCUCUACUGUUGCACCUAGACCACUGAGCCAGAUGGCAAAAUCAUACCACCAUAUGUGUUAGAGCAGCUAUAAACGCAUGAUUCUCUACACUUGAUCUGGCCUUCAGAGCUACCUAUUAAUUUUUUUAUAUCUCUACAGUUUUGAUCUUCUCUUAUUCCUUACAAUAGACAUUUUAGAUUCCCUAGAGACUCAAAUUUCUGCCCUAUUCUUUUUUUAAAAAAAAAAUUUUUUUUGGUACCAGGGAUUGAACUCUGGACCUCGCACCUACAAGGCAGGAACCGGAACCACUGAGCUAAAUCCCGGGCCAAAGUUCUGCCCUAUUCUUUUUUUUUCUAAUUUAAAAAAGCUUUUAUUUUGCAAGAAUUUUUGGAUUUACACAAGAGUUGCAAAGAUAAUAUAGAAUGUUUCUAUAUCUAUAUAUAUCCCUCACCCUGCCUUAUUCUUAACAACAGACUCUAUCUGCUGCUGCACAGAGAGAAAUAUGCGAUGAGGGUUAUCACUGCAGCCAUUCCUUGUUUUUUGUGCAGCUGAGCAGGGAAAAAGCUGUCUCUGUGUUUCAGACAACUGACCCUUCCCUUCCCUUCUGGUCCCUUCCCCUCCCAUCUCAUCUCUUUUCUUGUCUCUUCUCUUCUUUUUUGUGGUAGUAGUGAUUGAACUAGAGCCUUUGUACUAAGCCACAUCCCCAGACCACUUUUAAUGUUUUAUAGUUUUGAUACAGAGUCUUACUAAGCUGUUAAGUUGUUCAGACUGAGCUUCAACGUUUGAUCUUCCUACCUCAGCCCCCUAGAGUCCUGAGAUUACACGCAUGUGCCACCAUUUCAGCCUGAUAGAAGUUUCUCUUUCCUUCACUUGUAGAAAAGUACCAUUUCCCACUUUUUCCUUUUUAACCAUGAUUUUUGGUUUCCUUUUCACAUGAAUAAUAAAGAUAAUUGUACACGUUUCAUGAGUAUUCACUAUUUACCAUGUGUAUGGUCUCAUUUUUAAGUAUAUCUUUAUAAUUGCUACGCAUAACCAUAAGAAAGAGAUGUUAUUAUUCUUCUCACUUUGCAGAUGAUGAUACAGAACACAGAGGCAGCUAAAAUGACUGUUCCAAGAAAACAGCAGCUACAGUUGAGGCUUGAACUCAGGUCAGCUACCUGUAGAGCAGGAAUAUAGCACCCUGACUGAACUGUCUCUAUUUCUGAAAUGUCUUUGUCCCUGAGCUUUCAGACGUAGCUUUCUUUCCUUUCCAUCUCACCCACUCUUUUGAAAUGGACUUGUCACCUGCUCCUGCAUUCUUGGAAUUACCAAUUCUGUAAUUUAGGCUAGAAGGUGAAAGAUGCAGCCAGGUUACUACUGAAAAGCUUUUCUCCUGGCCUUCUCCUUUGCCUUGGUUUCCUCUUCUGUGAAAUGACAUUUCCGACGGCACCAGCGGCCCAGGGAUUUAGGUAAUAAACAGCCGGGUGUAAAAAGGUAAUCGACCAUCAUAGUCAUCUGCUCAUUCGCCUCCAUUUCCACCGGGAAUGUCUCCUAGUAUCUCACUCAACGUGCACUAAGAAGGGCUCGGCAUUCUCCAAAUGCUCCAAAUUGGUGACAAUCUCUGUGUUCUCUUUCCUUUUCCUUAGAGGUAAUUAUUUUUCUAUUGGGCCUACAUAGCAUGUCCCCAAGUUGCACCGUGCUGAGUCUAGUACCUAAGUUGACUUCAUUGAUUAAAUUUAGGCCUGCAUCAACUCAUAGUUUAAUAAUUGUUGUGUUUUCAUACCUGGAAUCCCUGGCCCAAUUUUCUAACGUCCUUGCAGAACUCUUUUUUUUUAAAGGGUAAUUAGAUGAUGCCUGUUCUGCUGCACUUACAAUUACAACAGGUAACCCCAAAGCUUUUGUAUGAAGUUGAAAUUUCUUAGUGUUUAAUUCUUUAUUCUCUCACUAAUUCUUGUUUCUCUGCUUUAUCACAUUUCUUAUUACUUUCUGCACAUUGUACUUUUGCUACAGUAUUGGGGAACUACCAGUUGUCCUUCGAAUCCCAGGGUCUCAUAAAGCUCACUGGUUGGAAAAUGAUGAUGUUUGCGUACCUACCUUCAUUUUCUGGUUAACACUUCUUUGUGCUUAGAGAUAGCUCAAGUGUUAUCUUUUGCAGACCUAUUCUUUGACUGAUACCUAUAAUUUAUUUUGGUGCUUCCUCUGGGUUUCCACAACACUCGACAUAUACUUAUACCCAUCAGUUACACAUUAUGGUUCUUAAAUUCAGUUUGCUUCAAGACCCCUACAGCUAGGCUUGGUGACCUGCUACCAGUGGAUCAAAUUCAGCUUGAUGCCUAUUUUGUAAAUAAAGUUUUAUUGGAACAUAAACAUGCCUGUUCCAUUCAGUAUUCUUUGUGGUUGCUUUUAUAUGACAACAGACAACAGCAGAGUUUAACUGAUGUAAUAGAACUUAUAUAUUCCAAAUCCCAAAAUACUUGUUACCUAGCCCUUUUCAGAAAAUGUCCUCAGAUCUCUGAUAGUCU
rnacentral:lncRNA from 1 species